GAGGAAUAUUGGUCAAUGGACGAGAGUCUGAACCAGCCAAGUAGCGUGAAGGAUGACUGCCCUAUGGGUUGUAAACUUCUUUUAUAUGGGAAUAAAGUAUUCCACGUGUGGGAUUUUGUAUGUACCAUAUGAAUAAGGAUCGGCUAACUCCGUGCCAGCAGCCGCGGUAAUACGGAGGAUCCGAGCGUUAUCCGGAUUUAUUGGGUUUAAAGGGAGCGUAGGUGGAUUGUUAAGUCAGUUGUGAAAGUUUGCGGCUCAACCGUAAAAUUGCAGUUGAAACUGGCAGUCUUGAGUACAGUAGAGGUGGGCGGAAUUCGUGGUGUAGCGGUGAAAUGCUUAGAUAUCACGAAGAACUCCGAUUGCGAAGGCAGCUCACUAGACUGCAACUGACACUGAUGCUCGAAAGUGUGGGUAUCAAACAGGAUUAGAUACCCUGGUAGUCCACACAGUAAACGAUGAAUACUCGCUGUUUGCGAUAUACAGUAAGCGGCCAAGCGAAAGCAUUAAGUAUUCCACCUGGGGAGUACGCCGGCAACGGUGAAACUCAAAGGAAUUGACGGGGGCCCGCACAAGCGGAGGAACAUGUGGUUUAAUUCGAUGAUACGCGAGGAACCUUACCCGGGCUUAAAUUGCAUUUGAAUAAUCUGGAAACAGGUUAGCCGCAAGGCAAAUGUGAAGGUGCUGCAUGGUUGUCGUCAGCUCGUGCCGUGAGGUGUCGGCUUAAGUGCCAUAACGAGCGCAACCCUUAUCUUUAGUUACUAACAGGUCAUGCUGAGGACUCUAGAGAGACUGCCGUCGUAAGAUGUGAGGAAGGUGGGGAUGACGUCAAAUCAGCACGGCCCUUACGUCCGGGGCUACACACGUGUUACAAUGGGGGGUACAGAAGGCUGCUACCACGCAAGUGGAUGCCAAUCCCAAAAACCUCUCUCAGUUCGGAUUGAAGUCUGCAACCCGACUUCAUGAAGCUGGAUUCGCUAGUAAUCGCGCAUCAGCCACGGCGCGGUGAAUACGUUCCCG
rnacentral:rRNA from 1 species